CCUACGGGAGGCAGCAGUGAGGAAUAUUGGUCAAUGGACGUAAGCCUGAACCAGCCAAGCCGCGUGCAGGAUGAAGGUUCUAUGGAUCGUAAACCUCUUUUAUAAGGGGAUAAAGUUCGGGACGUGUCCCCAUUUGUAUGUACCUUAUGAAUAAGGAUCGGCUAACUCCGUGCCAGCAGCCGCGGUAAUACGGAGGAUCCGAGCGUUAUCCGGAUUUAUUGGGUUUAAAGGGUGCGUAGGCGGCCUUUUAAGUUAGCGGUGAAAGUCUGUGGCUCAACCAGGGAAUUGCCGUUGAUACUGUGAGGCUUGAGAAUGUGUGCGGUAGGCGGAAUGUGUGGUGUAGCGGUGAAAUGCUUAGAGAGCACGCAGAACCCCGAUUGCGAAGGCAGCCUGCCAAGCCAUGACUGACGUUGAGGCACGAAAGCGUGGGGAGCAAACAGGAUUAGAUACCCUUGUAGUC
rnacentral:rRNA from 1 species